rnacentral:rRNA from 2 species
GACGUAGGAUGCAAGCGUUGUCCGGAAUUAUUGGGCGUAAAGAGUUCGUAGGCGGUUACUUAAGUCUGGUGUUAAAUACUGGCGCUCAACGUCAGCAUGGCAUUGGAAACUGGGUGGCUAGAGUGUGGCAGAGGUCAAGGGAAUUCCAGGUGUAGCGGUGAAAUGCGUAGAUAUCUGGAGGAACACCGGUGGCGAAAGCGCUUGACUGGGCCAUAACUGACGCUGAGGAACGAAAGCUAGGGGAGCAAAAGGG